AGCAUUUGAUUCAUUUCGAUCAUAACAUCCUAAUUAUUUGACAUCAGCAUCACAUCUAAUUAUGAGUAUUUGAUUCAUUUUGAUCAUAGCAUCUUAAUUAUUUGACAUAAGCAUGAUACAUGAAACCGAGUCUACAGGACAUAUCCAAGAGGACGGUGUAGUAACAUCGGUGAAGUCAGAUCUUAUCUCCCUGAAGUUGCAGUGGAGCAGACCAAAGAUGGCGAAUCUUAUCUCCAUGUAUCGGCAAUGGAGCAGAUUUUAGCCGCUAGCCUUAUCUUUCUGAGGUAGCAAGAGAGCAGGUUGAAGAUGGUGGUCUUAUCUUCCUAAGGUAACAAGGAAGCAGACUGAAGAUUGAAGAUCUUGUCUCUCUAAGCAGUAGUGGAGUAGAUCGAAGAUGGCGAAUCUUAUCUCCAUGUAUCGGCAAUGGAGCAGAUUUUAGCCACUAACCUUAUCUCCCUGAGGUAGCAAAAGAGUAGGUUGAAGAUGGUGGUCUUAUCUUCCUGAGGUAGGAACGAAGCAGACUGAUGAUUGUAAAUCUUAGCUCCCUAAGCAGUUGAGAAGCAAAUCGAAUACGGCGAAUCUUAUCUCCAUGUAUCGGAAAUGAAGUAGAUUUUAGUCACUAGCAUUAUCUCUCUGACGUAGCAAAAAAGCAGAUUGGCGAUUGUAGGCUUAUCUUCUUGAGGUAACAAGGAAGCAAACUGAAGAUUGAAGAUCUUAUCUCUUUAAGCAGUUGGGAGCAAAUUGAGGAUGGCGAAUCUUAUCUCCAUGUUUCGGCAAUGGAGCAGAUUUUAGCCACUAGCCUUAUCUCUCUAAGGAAGCAAGAGAGUGGGUUGGCGAUUGUAGUCUUAUCUUCCUGAGGCAGCAAGGAAGCAGACUGAAUAUUGAAGAUCUAUUUUCCUAAGCAGUUGUGGAGCAGAUCGAGGAUGGCGAAUCUUAUCUCCAUGUAUCAGCAAUAGAGCAGAUUUAAGCCACCAUCCUAUUUCCUUAAAGUUACAGUCAAGAUUCAGCAAAACAGGGCAAAAUUGGCCCUAUUUGAAGUCUUUGCUCUAUUCUCGUUACACGACAAUAAGUAAAGAGGGACAGCUGUAAUAGGCCCAUUUCGCAUGGGCCCAUAAAAAAACGAAAAAAACAAAAAAAAACCAAAAUAAAUAAAAUAAAAUAAGGUCCAAAGUCCAACAUUACAAAAAGCCCAGCUUUUAGCCUAAUACCAAAUUUACAUUUAACCCACAUACAAUUGAAGCCCAAAUUUUAAACUCAUUUUACAAUAAGGCCCAAUCUUAAAACAGCCCAAAUGGCCCGGGCAAAUUGAAACUUCUGGAACCUUAGGGUUCCCUUGCGCCGCAGCCUUCACAAGCGGCCUCUCCACAUCGCACGUGCUCCUCCGUUCCUCCGUACACCCCACGAACGGCCUCACCAUGUCAGCAGCACCACAACCUUCAUACCCACAACGGACUAACAACUCACAACAGAUUGACAGCAAAUAGAUCUAAGGGAAAAUUUUUUGUAUUUAUUAUUAUUAUUCUUUUUAUUCGACUAUAAAGGCCAGUGAAAUCGAAUGUAAAGAGGAUCUUUUCCACAAAAAAAAUACAAUACAGAUACAGAAAAACAGAGAGUAGGAUUUGACUUUUUCAAAUACAAUGAGAUUUUCCAUUUUUCUUCUCUUUAAGAGGUGAUUGGUGAUUCUGAUUUUCCUUUUUAAGUUUUUUACAACAAAAGAAAAAAAGCAAAAAGAGUGAAAAGAUCGAAAGUACCUUUUCCAGCCAUCGUUAUUCACGAUCGAAAUGGAUUAGUGGCGCAUUUGAGCCCUAGCAGAGGAGAAAGGGAAAAAACCCUUCUGCUCCUUUCGAUUUUGAGGCAAAUGCCUUUGACAGGAAGGUUUCUUUGUUUCUUAUGCAUAAA
rnacentral:lncRNA from 1 species